CCUACGGGUGGCAGCAGUAGGGAAUUUUGCGCAAUGGGCGAAAGCCUGACGCAGCAACGCCGCGUGAUCGAGACGCCCUUCGGGGUGUAAAGAUCUGUCAGUGGGGACGAAACUUGACGGUACCCACAGAGGAAGCACCGGCUAACUCCGUGCCAGCAGCCGCGGUAAUACGGGGGGUGCAAGCGUUGUCCGGAAUCAUUGGGCGUAAAGCGUUCGUAGGCGGCACGUAAAGUCUGGUGUUAUAGGGAGGGGCUCAACUUCUGUACGGCACUGGAUACUUGCGAGCUAGAAUGCGGUAGAGGUAAAGGGAAGUCCUGGUGUAGCGGUGAAAUGCGUAGAUAUCAGGAGGAACAUCGGUGGCGUAGGCGCUUUACUGGGCCGUAAUUGACGCUGAGGAACGAAAGCCAGGGUAGCAAAUGGGAUUAGAUACCCGGGUAGUC
rnacentral:rRNA from 1 species